rnacentral:tRNA from 1 species
AACUGCCUUGCGGCACGCGCCCUCGAUGAACGCUAUCUGCAGCCGGACAAUGAUUAGAAAGACCAGCUUGCUUCGUAAGAUCGUUCCGAUAGCGAGGCGGUCAAGCUUCGCUAAAAGGAUCAUUUACAACUCGCUUGUCUCUCCAGAAGCAGCCUUGUGAGCUACCCUUGAAAGACGCACGAGCGCCGAAAUGAUCCGGAGAUAAUGAAGUCUCGCGUAGCAAUUGCUUGCUGCACGAUCCAACUCGGAUCGAUCUCCUCUUUACGAUGUCAGAAAUCACGCAACUUGCUGUCUAUCCAGACUAGCAAGAUGCGAAGUGAUGUUUCGCGGACGAUUUAGGUGCACGAUCAGUCGAUGAUCAAACCAUCUGGUGGAGCCAGACGGGAUCGAACCGACGACCUCAUGCUUGCAAAGCACGCGCUCUCCCAGCUGAGCUAUGGCCCCGUAACCAGAAGACGAAUGCUCACUCGAUGAAAGUGGUGGGCCUGGGAAGACUUGAACUUCCGACCUCACGCUUAUCAAGCGCGCGCUCUAACCAACUGAGCUACAAGCCCCUAACGCAUAUCCAGUCAAGGACCAGGGACUCUGCAAACCUGCAGCCCCAGCGCGUGUUCGUCCGCGAAGAAAGAGAAACGAAGACGGCGAAAUCCCGCCAAUGCAGCUCAACAAUCCUGACGAUUGUUGGCCACUGAUGUUUCUAAAACGAUCCGAUAGUGAGCCGAAGCUCGCUGAAGGAUCAUCCUUAGAAAGGAGGUGAUCCAGCCG